rnacentral:misc_RNA from 1 species
GAUGAAGAACGUAGCGAAAUGCGAUAAGUAGUGUGAAUUGCAGAAUUCAGUGAAUCAUCGAAUCUUUGAACGCACAUUGCGCCUCCUGGCAUUCCGGGAGGCAUGCCUGUUCGAGCGUCAUCAAACCCCAUCGUGCAAAUGAAUUAUUUUUUUUGCGCGGAAGUGACGAUUGAGCGAGAAUAACAAAUCCUCUCGCACCUCGUCGAAAUGAUUGCGGGCGGAAUUUGGGAUCGGGUUCCUCGGCGUAGUGUAUCAAUGCAUAUUUAUGCAACUUGCCGCGGAGUUGAGCCUGACCCACGCGUGCUCGCCGUACAAACACCUCAUUACUUUACAAGUUUUUGACCUCGGAUCAGGUAGGGAUACCCGCUGAACUUAAGCAUAUCAAUAAGCGGAGGA